UACAGAGGGUGCGAGCGUUGUCCGGAAUCACUGGGCGUAAAGGGCGCGUAGGUGGCGACCCAAGUCGAUGGUGAAAGCUCGCCGCUCAACGGCGAGUCGGCCACCGAUACUGGGUUGCUGGAGCACUGUAGAGGCAGAUGGAAUUCCGGGUGUAGCGGUGGAAUGCGUAGAGAUCCGGAAGAACACCGGUGGCGAAGGCGGUCUGCUGGGCAGUUGCUGACGCUGGAGGAGCGAAAGCAUGGGGAGCGAACAGG
rnacentral:rRNA from 1 species